CAGUAGCCGCGGUAAUACGAAGGGUGCAGGCGUUAAUCGGAAUUACUGGGCGUAAAGCGUGCGUAGGUGGUGGUUUAAGUCCGUUGUGAAAGCCCUGGGCUCAACCUGGGAAUUGCAGUGGAUACUGGGUCACUAGAGUGUGGUAGAGGAUAGUGGAAUUUCCGGUGUAGCAGUGAAAUGCGUAGAGAUCUGGAGGAAUACCGGUGGCGAAGGCGGCCCCCUGGACAAAGACUGACGCUCAGGUGCGAAAGCGUGGGGAGCAAACAGGAUUAGAUACCCCAGUAGUCCCUGUCUCUUAUAC
rnacentral:rRNA from 1 species